rnacentral:rRNA from 1 species
GAUGAACGCUGGCGGCGUGCCUAAUACAUGCAAGUCGAGCGAACGGACGAGAAGCUUGCUUCUCUGAUGUUAGCGGCGGACGGGUGAGUAACACGUGGAUAACCUACCCAUAAGACUGGGAUAACUUCGGGAAACCGGGGCUAAUACCGGAUAAUAUUUUGAACCGCAUGGUUCAAAAGUGAAAGACGGUCUUGCUGUCACUUAUGGAUGGAUCCGCGCUGCAUUAGCUAGUUGGUAAGGUAACGGCUUACCAAGGCAACGAUGCAUAGCCGACCUGAGAGGGUGAUCGGCCACACUGGAACUGAGACACGGUCCAGACUCCUACGGGAGGCAGCAGUAGGGAAUCUUCCGCAAUGGGCGAAAGCCUGACGGAGCAACGCCGCGUGAGUGAUGAAGGUCUUCGGAUCGUAAAACUCUGUUAUUAGGGAAGAACAUAUGUGUAAGUAACUGUGCACAUCUUGACGGUACCUAAUCAGAAAGCCACGGCUAACUACGUGCCAGCAGCCGCGGUAAUACGUAGGUGGCAAGCGUUAUCCGGAAUUAUUGGGCGUAAAGCGCGCGUAGGCGGUUUUUUAAGUCUGAUGUGAAAGCCCACGGCUCAACCGUGGAGGGUCAUUGGAAACUGGAAAACUUGAGUGCAGAAGAGGAAAGUGGAAUUCCAUGUGUAGCGGUGAAAUGCGCAGAGAUAUGGAGGAACACCAGUGGCGAAGGCGACUUUCUGGUCUGUAACUGACGCUGAUGUGCGAAAGCGUGGGGAUCAAACAGGAUUAGAUACCCUGGUAGUCCACGCCGUAAACGAUGAGUGCUAAGUGUUAGGGGGUUUCCGCCCCUUAGUGCUGCAGCUAACGCAUUAAGCACUCCGCCUGGGGAGUACGACCGCAAGGUUGAAACUCAAAGGAAUUGACGGGGACCCGCACAAGCGGUGGAGCAUGUGGUUUAAUUCGAAGCAACGCGAAGAACCUUACCAAAUCUUGACAUCCUUUGACAACUCUAGAGAUAGAGCCUUCCCCUUCGGGGGACAAAGUGACAGGUGGUGCAUGGUUGUCGUCAGCUCGUGUCGUGAGAUGUUGGGUUAAGUCCCGCAACGAGCGCAACCCUUAAGCUUAGUUGCCAUCAUUAAGUUGGGCACUCUAAGUUGACUGCCGGUGACAAACCGGAGGAAGGUGGGGAUGACGUCAAAUCAUCAUGCCCCUUAUGAUUUGGGCUACACACGUGCUACAAUGGACAAUACAAAGGGCAGCGAAACCGCGAGGUCAAGCAAAUCCCAUAAAGUUGUUCUCAGUUCGGAUUGUAGUCUGCAACUCGACUACAUGAAGCUGGAAUCGCUAGUAAUCGUAGAUCAGCAUGCUACGGUGAAUACGUUCCCGGGUCU